UCCUUUAGAUUUAAUUAAAGGUAAGGCCUGCUCCAUGAUAAAUUAAAUAGCUGCAGGUGACUGUACUAAGGUAGCAUAAUCAUUUGUUUUUUUAUUGAAAGCUAGAAUGAAGGGCUUAAUGUAUUACAUCUUAUUCUUUUAUUAAAAUUUGAAAUUUAAAUUUAAGUAAAAAUACUUGAAUAGAAUUUAGGGACGAGAAGACCCUGUAAAGCUUAAAUUGUUUAAGACUUUAUGUGUUUAUAAGCUAUUUUGGUUGGGGAAACAUAAUUAGAAAAAAAUCUUAUUUUAUGAGCCAUAAAUUAUGAUUAAAAGAAAAGUUACUUCAGGGAUAACAGCAUAAUAAAAGUAUUCACGAUCACAUUGAAUAUUUUGUUUGUGACCUCGAUGUUGGAUUAAUGAACCUUUUAGAUGAAGAAGGCUAUAAUGGUUGUCUGUUCGACAAUUAAAUCUUUACA
rnacentral:rRNA from 1 species